rnacentral:rRNA from 1 species
UACGUAGGGUGCGAGCGUUAAUCGGAAUUACUGGGCGUAAAGCGUGCGCAGGCGGUUCGUUAUGUCCGAUGUGAAAGCCCCGGGCUCAACCUGGGAAUGGCAGUGGAUACUGGCAAGCUAGAGUGCGGUAGAGGAUGGUGGAAUUCCCGGUGUAGCGGUGAAAUGCGUAGAGAUCGGGAGGAACACCCGUGGCGAAGGCGGCCAUCUGGACCAGCACUGACGCUGAGGCACGAAAGCGUGGGGAGCAAACAGG